AACAAAGAGGACACAUAGGGCACAAUUAGAGGCGCCACGCGAAAGGAGGGAUCCAGCGCUCAAUUUACCCAUUCAAACAAAAAGGGCGUAGAUCCGACUCCUUUAUCGGGCCAACGCUCGGACUUCCAUGGGUGUAAACGGCGCCGUUUUGAUUUUAAUACUAAAAUCCCCUUCUUUCAUUCAUUUUCUUUCCAAAACACAGAUGAAAAACAACAGCCUUGCUCUGUGAAGGCUCCUUUCAUCGCGCAGCCACUAACCUUCAUCAGUUUGAUGGCUAACGGUGCGGAUAAUGGCCGGAUCUUACCCAUGGAGGCCGCAAUUCUGGAAAUCCGGUACGGAGAAGAUGACCUGGGGAUCUCACGUGAGAAGUCGUUCCUCUGGUGCCCUUCCAGUACAUUCCAGGAGCUUCUGAAAUUCUUGACUGCUGGAAUUCUUUUUGGGCUCUUUCGGGUUUGGGCUAGAUUUAGGGUAUGGGUUUAUUAGAAUUAGGUUUUGGGAUUUGGUCAAAAUUUAUGUAACUGGGUUAAGUUUAUAUUAAUGGAUUUUGGGUUUAAGUUACUUUUGGCCCAAAUAUUUGUAACUAGACAUUGGACUUUUGAUUUUGGGUUGUUUUUUUAUUUUUGUUUUAUUUUUGGUUUUUAAAUUCUAUUUUUUUAUUCUAAUGGGCCCGGGCGAAAUUGGUUGUCUACAAAUAUGUAUAAAAAUUUGACUAGGCUUGAGUAAUAAUUAAA